UCCAAGAAAUUAAGGUUAUGUCAGUUAGUAUUAGAGUAAGGCUUCAUAUUCUAUAUUCACCUCUGAAGAUGUUACAUGGUAAAAGGUUACAGAUUAAUGAGGAUAAAGUUCCUGAGGUAUGCUCCCAGUCUAGGACGAAAUAUCUUGCCAACAACAUAUUAAUCAGAAAUUUGAAGAUACAAUUGAUACUAUAAAUGUUCUAAAUUUUUAUUCACCAGCCCAGAAUAUUCAAAGGGAAAAUGAUUUCAUACACCAUUGACAUUAAAAUAUAUCAAAUGACAUAGGUAGUUCAAAAAAUAGAUCUGAAGAUGAUGAUAAUAGAGAUUUCACAUGAAAAUUUUUUUAGUCAGUUUUCAUAUUAAUUGAAAAUUAAAGAAUUUUAAACUAGAUAUCAGAGCUUUAAAGGUUUUUUGAAUAUAUGAAAACUGGUGAUGAAAAAUAGGUAUGUUACGAGAUACAGCGGAAGCAUGAAAGGGAAAAACUGACCUAACCCUUCUUAGGGCAGUAUGCCAAUAUUUAUAUUGGCAUCUAAUAAAUCUUUCUGGUAUUACAGAAAGGUUUAAUAAUGGAAACACAAAAAAGGGAAAUACAUCUAAUAAUAGGACAGAAAGAAAAAAUAAAAGGAAAGCUUAAUACAGAAAACUUGUUCUACAUAACACUCUCCCUCAAGUUGGUGCGUGGAUAUUGUUCAUUCCCAGUUUGCUCCUUUGUUUGCAGAACUUUGUUACAGAAAUGCCCUUAGUUAUUAUAUCAGCCAACUAAUUUGUAGAUGAGAAAUACUCUAUGUAAAACAUCCCCAAUUUAAGUUUCUCUUUAAUAUAAUGUCUGUCUACUUCAAUGUGUUUGGUAUUACUAUGCUGAACAAGAUCAUGUGCAAUACUUAUUGCACACUGAUUAUCACAGAAAAAGGUAAUCAAACCUUUCAUGGGUAUUUGUCAGUCAUUUAGUAUACUCUUUAUCCAAAUGCCUUCACAAAUCCCAAGGGUCAUUGGCUUAAACUCCACUUUAGCAGUUGAUCAAGUCACAACUCUCUAUUUUUGGCUUCACCAAGUGACCAAAUUUCCUCCAAUGAGACAACAAUACCCAAUAGUAGAGCACCUAUCAUCAACUAAACCAAUUUUUCAACAUAAUCGACAUCAAUAUAGAUGCCUAUUGUAAGAGAAUCUCUCCUUUUAAACAAGAUUCUCAUGCCAAUUAUUCCUUUAAGAUAGGCUAAUACUCGUUGAGCAGCUUGAUGAUGCACCUUCCUAGGGUCAUACAUAUAUUGGCUUAGCACUUUAAUUGAGUAAGUAUCCGAUCUAGUAUGGGAUAGAUAAAUUAAUUUUCCCACUAACUGCUGAUAAGAUUCAUUAUCUACUUGAUCACUCUCCUUUGAAGCCUCAAUACAAUGCUUCAUUUCAAUUGGUGUACACCCUAGUUUACAAUUACUCAUGCCUGUAUAUUUGAGUAAAUCUAUAAUAUACUUUCUUUGAGAUAAGAAUAAAUUUCUGCGAGAGUAAGCUACCUCAAUUCCCAAGAAGGAUUUUAGUUAUCUCAACACUUUGAUAUCAAAAACAGUUGUUAGUUGUUUUCGAAGAGAAAUGAUUUCUUACAUAUUAUCUCUAGAAACAAUUAUGUUAUCAAUAUAUACUAGUAAGAUUGCCAUUUUUUCUGAACUCGAGUGUUUAUAAAAUAAGAUAUGAUCUCCAUUGGCUUGCUUGAACCCCAAAGCUCUCAUUGCUUUAGUUGAGUGACCAAACCAAGCUCUUGGUGACUAUUUUAAGCCAUGUCUUCUUAAGUCUGCACACUUGAAGAGUAUCAUUUGGGUCUCUAUACCUUGGUGGAAGAUCCAUAUAUAUUUAUUUUGAGAUUUCUCCAUAAAAGAAUGUAUUUUUCACAUCAAAUUAUAAUAAGGAUCAUCCAUAAUCCACAGCCAAGGAUAUUAAUAUCCAAACUAUUCCCAUCUUUGCAACUAGAGCAAAGGACUCCACAUAAUGAAUACCAUAACAUUGGGUGAAGAAUUAUCCACCAUCCAAGUUUUAAAAUGCUUAACAGUCCCAUCAAAUUUAUACUUAAUGGUAUAUACUCAUAUGCAACCUAUAGUUUUCGUCCUUUUAGGAAGCAACAUGAGUUCCCAAAUUCAAUUUUUCUGUAGAACUAACAUCUCCUCAUCCAUUGCUUUUUUCCCUAGGGGGGCUUCUUAAAGCUUCAUCAAUGUUUUGAGGCAUCUUGUGUUUAUCAAUAGUUGACAGAAAUGACCUGUAUUGCAGAGAUAGCCGAUGAUAAGAGACAUAAUUGUAGGAUGGAAAUACCUUCUUCUUUGUACUUUCUCUAGUUCUUUUACAUAGAGCAAGAGGGCAGAUUUCAUCUCCUUGAGUAAUAGGAAGGUUAUGUUGAUCAAUCAGUGAUUUGUCACAUUUAAUAAUAGAAUCAUGAGAUCUACUACAUUAAGCAUACCUUGUUCAUGGACAUCUACUAUAGCAAGUAGAUCCUGUUUAUAGAUUUCAUGGGGCAUCUGCUGCAUCAAACAGAUCUUGUUCAUGGUUCCCUUUGAUUGUCUUUGGCUUUCUUUGAUAAUUACUUCGACCAAAUUGAUUUAGAGGUGGAGGUACUGGUAUCAUUUCAAGAAUCUCAAUGUGUAAAUCAUGUUUUUCUAACACAAGAAUAUCAUAGCUAGAUACUUGAGUUGUUGUUUGCUGAAAAUAUAUGUUACGUUCAUCAAAUGUGACAUUAAUUGUCACAAUAAUUUUUCCAAAUCUUGUGUCAUAUAAUUUAAACUCUUUUUGUGCAUUAAAAUAACCCACAAAAACUACCUUUAUGGCUCUAAGAGCAAAUUUAGAUAGUCCAUUCUGAGAUUGGUGGAUGUAUCUAAUAUUCUCAAACACUCAAAGAGGUAAAUCUAGUCCAUAUUACACAGUCAAAUAAUGACCUUAUAAUAAGACUUUGGGUGUCUUAAAUAAUAAUGCUUCUGAUAAGAGAUGAUUAACAAGACGAGUGGUUGUUAGUACUGCCUCACUCCAUAAGUACUUCAACACUUGGGCUUUAAACAUGAUAGUCCUUAUUAUUUCCAACAGUUGCCCAAUCUUUCUUUUCACUACCUCAUUUUGCUGAGGUGUAUAAGGGCAAGAAGAUUCAUGAAUAAUGUCCUCAACAAAGAAAUUGGAGACAAUAAUUGAAGAUAUCCUUAGCAUUAUUUGAUCAAAAUUUCUUAAGGGUUAUACUAAACUGAUUUUAAAUUAACUUGACAAACCUCUGAAAAACAUUGUUGGCUUCUGAUUUUAUUUUCAUUAGGUAAAUCCAUGUGAACCUAGUACAACCAUCUACAAAGAUGAUAAACCAUCUGAAGUCCCAAACACCAUAGAAUGAAAGACCUCAUAUAUCAAAAUGUAUUAUGAAAAAUGGGGUUCACUUUUAUUUUGAGCAGAGGGAAAUGAAAUUCAUUGCUGUUUAGCCAUUUGACAAGGUUCACAUAUGAAAGUAGAUUCACCAAUUGCACGACAUAGUUUUGGAAAUAAGUAUCGAAGUACUUUUAUGGAUGAAUGUCCAAAACGACAAUGCAACAAUAACAAUUUGUUCAAGGAAGAAGUAGAUGCAAAAGUGGAAAUGUUUGGACUAGAAUUCGUCAACAAUAUCUUGUCCAUACACCUUGUGUAGUAGAGUCUAUCCUGUGCUCUAACAUGCCCAAUCCUCCUACCCAAGGUCUUGUGGCAUAGAAGAAACAUAAAUCUUUGUAAAAUAAUAACAAACAAUUCAAGUCUUUACCCAAUUUUCUCAAUCAAUAGGUGUGCAUUCAAUCUUAGAACAUGAAGAAUAUUUCUAAAUGACCCUAAUUUCUCAAGAUGAAUUGAUCCAAUACCAACUAUAGGCAACAAAUCCUCACUUACAGUAAUAACUUUCCAAUUAUUAGUGCAUACCUCAUAUGUUAUAAAUAGUGAUGCAUAUGGUGUUAGAUGAUCAAUAGCUCUAGAAUCAAUGAUCUAGGGCACUUUUAAGGGUGAAGGUGAUGCCAAUGAUGAUGUAUUUAAGCAUAAUGAAAAAUGUUUAGGAAAAUACUCGCUAACAUGUGCGAGGGAAGUGGAGCUGAUCAUGCUUCUUAGCUGUUCAAUCUUUUUCCUGAGUUUUUCAAUCUCCAAAGGCCGAGAGGAAGUAGAUCUGUCUGGACUAGCUCCUCCUUGUAUGAUGGGCUUAACACCAUCUUCAUUUUGAACAUUACCCAAAUGCAACUUAUCAUAAUUCUGUGGUUUGCCAUAGAUCUUUUAGCAUGUCUCCCUAGCAUGACAAUUUUUCCAACAAUAAGUGCAAAAUAGGUGUGCCUUCGGAUUUGUCUUGAGAUCUCUUUUUAUGAAUGGUACUUUACCAUCCCCCCUUUUAAAUCCAAAUAUAUCUUUACUCUUGAGAUCAUCGAAUGUAACAUUUUCUGUCUUUAAAUCAUUCCUCAAAUUUCUAGUAUUUUCUUCUUCUCUGGCUAAUGCGAUUGUCUCUACAAUAUCUGGUACUACUUCUUGAGCAAGGAUCAGAUUUACUAGAGUCUCAUACUCUAGAUUUAUCCCCAUCAAAAACUUACACAACAUCUUUCACGAUGCAAUUUCUUUCUUUAGUAUUAAGUUCUUGAUUAGUCUGUAGUGGUCGAUUUCUCUCCAGAUGGAUUCAAAUUCACAAGCAUAUUCCAGAACAGUCAAUGUUCCCUAAAGUCAGAGAUUUCUAUACUAAUCUAUAAAUUUGGGAUUCGUCAUGUUUAGAAGAGUGACCAUAACGAACUUGGUCUCAUAUUUCUUUCACAGAUUUCAAAAAAAGGAAUCUAUCACUUAUCUUUGGUGAAAUAUUGUUCAACAUCCAAUAUUGAAUCAUUGUUUCUUCUUCUUUCCACUAAGAAUAUCCUGGGUUGUCAAUACUUGGCGAGGAUUGCAUCAGGUGACAAUCCAGAUUCUUCCCACGUAGAAUAAGUUUUACAUACCUUAAUUACUUCAAAUGAAUAUUCUGGGCCAAAGGAGGAAGAUUCACUGACCUUUGUCUCCAUGUUCUUCAGCCGUGACUAAAUAGUUGAAGAAAAAUCUCAAAUAGAGAUUCCUUAAUGUAGUACAAAUAACCGUUAAUAUUCAAGAAACUGAGGAUGACUACCACUGUCAAAACCACCUUCCCCACUUAUCCGGGCUGGGGGGUUUGACACGUUCCAACAAGAGAUGUCCUGCCACCGUAAAAAAUUGAUGAUAGUGUAUUUGUAGACGUUUGUCACCAUCAAGAAAUGAUGAUGGUGUAGUGACUCUCCAAAGAAUCAGCCGGUCUACUUACGACGAAGAAACCUCACGAUUUCAGGUAUUGCAAAUAGGAAGAAGAUCACCAAGCAACAAUGCCUACAAUGUAGAGUCAUCAUUGCCACCAAGGUUGGUUGAUCUUCCAUCAACAGUUCACACAGGAUCAGAGACAAUGCUCUAAUACCAUGCUACGAGAUAUAGUGGAAGCAAGAAAGGGAAAAACUGACCUAACCCUUCUGAGGGCUGUACACCAGUAUUUAUAUUUGCAUCGAAUAAACCUUUCCCUAAUACUGGAAAGGUUUAAUAAUGGAAACACAAAAAAGGGAAAUACAUCU
rnacentral:lncRNA from 1 species